UCAGACGAUGCGUCAUGCAUAUCAAUAAGCGGAGGAAAAGAAACUAACAAGGAUUCCCUCAGUAACGGCGAGUGAAGCGGGAAGAGCUCAAAUUUGAAAUCUUGAAAGGUCACCUUUCACGAAUUGUAGUUUAAAGAAGUGUUUUCUGUUACGAUCGUAAUAUAAGUUCUUUGGAAUAGGACAUCACAGAGGGUGAGAAUCCCGUCUAUGAUUGCGAUUUGUAGCUUUGUGAUACACUUUCAAAGAGUCGGGUUGUUUGGGAAUGCAGCCCAAAACGGGAGGUAAAUUUCUUCUAAGGCUAAAUAUUGGCGAGAGACCGAUAGCGAACAAGUACCGUGAGGGAAAGAUGAAAAGAACUUUGAAAAGAGAGUUAAAUAGUACGUGAAAUUGUCAAAAGGGAAGCGUUUAACACCAGUGUUGUUUUCUGAAAACCAACCUCUGUUAGCUUUAUGCAUGUUUGUUUAGACCUAAUCAGCUAUCUUGCAUGUUCUAUUGUUUGCAGUGGUGCACUUUUCAGUUUACAGGUCAACAUCAGUUUUUUUUACCGUAAAAAAGUUAAAGAAAGGUAGCUCAUGGCUCCGGUCGUGAGUGUUAUAGUCUUUUUCCUAUGCGGUAGGAGAGACUGAGGUCUGCAGUGUAGGCUAUUUGGCUAGAUACUCAGGUGCUAUGUGAUACCAUUUCAUAAACAACUUGUUGAUUAUGUUUUGUCUAUUGCAUACUCGCUUGUACUAUCAUACCUACGCUUAGGAUGUUGAAGACUCUACAGAGAUA
rnacentral:rRNA from 1 species